CCAGUGUCAAUGGAGAAAACGAACAUUAUGGUGCUCCAACUAAUUGGAUAGCACCUGCACGAGUACCAGGAGGAUCUUCUAGUGGUAUCCUUUUUUUUUUCUUCUGAUGAUUGUGUUGUUGGUAUCCUGGUAUAUCAUUUUCCAGAGUCAAUGGAGAAAACGAACAUUAUGGUGCUCCAACUAAUAGGAUAGCACCUGUACGAGUGCCAGGAGGAUCUUCCAGUGGAUCUGCUGUAACUGUUGCUUCCAAUAGUUGACUUUCUCUUGGUGCCAAUGCUGUUGGAGGUGUGAGAGAACUUGCAGGUUUUUGUGGUAUAAUAGGCUUAUGACCAUCUCAUGGGGCUGUUUCUCAUGUCGGAACUAUUUCUGUUGCCCCAGGGCUUAACACUGUCAGUACGUAUGGGUAGGAUUUUUUUAAACUGGAAUUGAUAUGGAGACAUGUCUGCUAUUUCAUUAUCUUGAUUCCUGAAUAUCAUCGUCAACUUUAAAACUGAACACACUUUCUGUCUGUUAAAGAGUGUAAAAAUUGCUUAAUUAUUAAUUAUUUAAUUCCACA